rnacentral:rRNA from 1 species
ACUAGUGCCAUAUCACACUGCUCUUGCCUGGUUUCCUACUGAAGCUAAGUAGGGUUGAGCCUAGUUAGUACCUGGAUAGGAGACCUUCUGGGGAAAAAACACAAAGUUGCUAGUG